AACGAACGCUGGCGGCAGGCUUAACACAUGCAAGUCGAACGCAUCCUUCGGGGUGAGUGGCAGACGGGUGAGUAACGCGUGGGAACGUGCCCUUCAGUUCGGGAUAACCCAGGGAAGCUUGGGCUAAUACUGGAUACGUGCGAGAGCAGAAAGAUUUAUCGCUGAAGGAUCGGCCCGCGUCUGAUUAGCUAGUUGGUGGGGUAAUGGCCCACCAAGGCGACGAUCAGUAGCUGGUCUGAGAGGAUGAUCAGCCACAUUGGGACUGAGACACGGCCCAAACUCCUACGGGAGGCAGCAGUGGGGAAUAUUGGACAAUGGGCGCGAGCCUGAUCCAGCCAUGCCGCGUGAGUGAUGAAGGCCUUAGGGUUGUAAAGCUCUUUCGUCCGGGACGAUAAUGACGGUACCGGAAGAAGAAGCCCCGGCUAACUUCGUGCCAGCCGCCGCGGUAA
rnacentral:rRNA from 1 species